GUCCACACCGUAAACGUUGGGCGCUAGGUGUGGGGUCCAUUCCACGGAUUCCGUGCCGCAGCUAACGCAUUAAGCGCCCCGCCUGGGGGAGUACGGCCGCAAGGCUAAAACUCAAAGGAAUUGACGGGGGCCCGCACAAGCGGCGGAGCAUGCGGAUUAAUUCGAUGCAACGCGAAGAACCUUACCUGGGUUUGACAUAUGCCGGAAAGCUCUAGAGAUAGAGCCCCUUUUGUCGGUAUACAGGUGGUGCAUGGCUGUCGU
rnacentral:rRNA from 1 species